UCCAGGCAAUUUUACGAGUGUGGAAGUCUUGUUCUCUUGUCCCAAGGAAACAGACAGACAUGGCGACAUAAAAUAUUACACACUGUCGUAUGAAGCUGAGGUAGACAAUGACAACAAUGUGACAGAAAGUCCCAAAGGAUUGAACAUUUCAGCUGAACCUGAGUCGAACUGUAACUACUCACAGGUUGUAUCCGUGACACCACAAACAAACUACACUUUUUCGGUACAAGCAUUCAACAC